rnacentral:rRNA from 1 species
CCUACGGGAGGCAGCAGUGAGGAAUAUUGGUCAAUGGGCUUACGCCUGAACCAGCCAAGUCGCGUGAGGGAAGACUGCCCUAUGGGUUGUAAACCUCUUUUGUCAGGGAGCAACGCCGGCUACGUGUAGCCGUACUGAGAGUACCUGAAGAAAAAGCCUCGGCUAACUCCGUGCCAGCAGCCGCGGUAAUACGGAGGAUGCGAGCGUUAUCCGGAUUUAUUGGGUUUAAAGGGUGCGUAGGCGGAAUGCCAAGUCAGCGGUAAAAUCGCGGGGCUCAACCUCGCUCCGCCGUUGAAACUGCUCGUCUAGAGUGGGCGAGAAGUAUGCGGAAUGCGUGGUGUAGCGGUGAAAUGCAUAGAUAUCACGCAGAACUCCGAUUGCGAAGGCAGCAUACCGGCGCCCAACUGACGCUCAUGCACGAAAGCGUGGGUAUCGAACAGGAUUAGAUACCCGUGUAGUC